rnacentral:tRNA from 2 species
AAAACUUAAGAAAGAAUAUUAAUUCUAUUAAUUU